UCGGAUCCGGCGUCAACGGCGUGACCGGCGACUACAGCCGUGGCGCUGCCGGUUUCUGGAUCGAGAACGGCCAACUGACAUAUGCGGUGAGCGAAGUGACCAUCGCGGGUCACCUGCUGGAUAUUUUCAAAUCGAUGGUUCCCGCCAACGACCUUGCGUUCAAGUACGGCGUCAACGCACCCACCGUGCGCGUGGGGGAACUGACGAUUGCCGGUCGCUGAUUCCGAUAUGAUCAGCGAUACCG
rnacentral:misc_RNA from 1 species